rnacentral:rRNA from 2 species
UCACGACUCUCGGCAACGGAUAUCUUGGCUCUUGCAUCGAUGAAGAACGUAGCAAAAUGCGAUACCUGGUGUGAAUUGCAGAAUCCUGUGAACCAUCGAGUUUUUGAACGCAAGUUGCGCCCGAGGCCUCCUGGCUAAGGGCACGUCUGCCUGGGCGUCACGC